CCAUUUGAUUUUAAUUUGAGAUAUAAGUCAUGUAUGAAAUUGAUGGCAUUGAACACUUAGGGAAAAUUGGGACUACAACUCAUAAAAUUGGAAUUAAAAUGUUGUGCAAAAAAAUAAAAAAUAAAUUCCUUGGUGGCCAUGUAAAUGGGAAUUGGUCCCACACAUUGUGUGGCCAAUUUUAAUUGGUCCACUCCAUGUGUGGGCCAAGGACACUUGGACAACAACUAUAUGAGCCUAAAGUAUGACCAAGUAGUCAUCUUUUCCCCAUUGCAAGACUUAGAAAAAAAAAAAUCAAGGAGUUGAAGACCACCUUCAACACCCCUCUCGGCUACAAACCAAGAAAAACCAAAUCCAAAUCAAGCCACCCCAAAAUUAUUUCCUUGGUAUAAAUCAACUAUUUAGAAGUCCCUAAGUAACGUGGAAGAGUUGUUUGGGUCAUCCAACCACUAGUUGUGCCCAAUUGCAAACCCUAACUAUUGAAGGAAGUGAAGAAGGAAGACCUUGGGCAGCCCGAAUCAUAGUUUGGACUUAGCUUGAGUUGGAUCAUAUUGGAGAGCGUUUGAGGUACAGACGCACAGCCUGGUGAUCCACCUGUUUAGGACACCCUUUCUGCUAUUCGGAGUGCUCCUCUCUUUCCGGAGCUUAUACUUUUGGUAUAUAUAUUUAUUAGUGCAUUUGUAUAUAUUCGUUCAUGGGUACGGCGGGGCCCUGUCCCGUCAUAUGAUUCUGUCGGUCUGUUUAGAGGUCUGUGGACAUGUUUGUGGGUUAGGGUCUUUUCUGUAUGAAUGUAUGUACAUGUCGUUUGGGCGAUCACAUACGCCGAGGCGGCCGGUCCGCAUAUGUUGUUUGGGC